rnacentral:rRNA from 1 species
CGGAGGUGGCAAGCGUUACUCGGAAUUAUUGGGUGUAAAGGGCAAGUAGGUGGUUUAGUAAGUGAGGGGUGAAAUCCUGCGGCUCAAUCGCAGAACUGCCUUUCAAACUGCUAAACUUGAGGGUGACAGAGGGAAAUGGAAUUCUCGGUGUAAGGGUGAAAUCUGUAGAUAUCGGGAAGAACACCAGCGGCGAAGGCGAUUUCCUGGGUCACUCCUGACGCUGAAUUGCGAAAGCUAGGGGAGCAAACAGAAUUAGAUACUCUGGUAGUCCUAGCCGUAAACGAUGAGCACUAGGUGUUGGUUCCGUAUGGAAUCAGUGCCGCAGCUAACGCAUUAAGUGCUCCACCUGGGGACUACGGUCGCAAGGCUA